AGUGAGAUAGCUGGGUCAAAUGGUGGUUUCAUUUCAAUUUCUCUGAGAAAUAUUCAUACUGCUUUACAGAUUGGUUGCACCAAUUUAUAGUCACACCAGCAAU
rnacentral:pre_miRNA from 1 species